CUUUAAAAGUAAGGACUGGGGGUGUAGCUUGGUGCCUGCCUUGCAUGUACAAGGCCCUGGAGUUGAGCCCCAGCAUUGCAAAAAUAUAAAAUAUAGUUUCUGAAGCCCACUCUGGACCUACAGAAUCUGGGGCCAGAUGGUUUGCUUCUUUUCCACUUCCAUGCCCCUGCUGUAGGGUGCUAAGAUGAUAAUCAGACUCCAAAAAAUGAACCACCCACCCACUCCUGCAGACCCUUCUUGCUUACUCUUUGUUGUAAAAAAACUCAAAAAAGGAAAGAAGCUUUGGAAAGCUGGAACCACUUAGAGACUAACUCCCAGAGCUGGUCUCCAGUAUGCUGACCUCCACCCCCACCUCUCACAAAUGAAUGCUCAAGUAGGUGAUAAACAUCCUUCACUCUGGGGCUGGAGAUGUG
rnacentral:lncRNA from 1 species